CACAUAAAAAAAGUAACGGCUAACGAAGUGUUCUACGCGGAAUCGCAUUUCCCGAAACGAAGUCCUCCUCUUUUCUCCGAAAAAGUACGAAGGCAUUCUUCUUCGGUCUCUCAAUCACCAAGUCUUGAGUGUGAGACUCCCAAAAAAUAAUAAUAAUAAUAAUAAGAUUCCUACUGUCACUCUCGGAGACCGCGAAGAUUCCAUUAGAUGGAGGACAUUCUAGAGCAAAAGGACGCUGCUGAUUGGGUUUACAGAGGGGAAGGGGGUGCUAAUCUUGUUCUCGCUUACACUGGAUCCUCUCCUGCUUAUAUUGGGAAAGUUAUUCGGAUAAGGAAGGCACUGAGGAAUGGAUCGCUGACCGCAAAGAGGCCCGCAGCUUUAACCAUGCAUGAACGCCGUUUGUGGAAAGACUUGGAAGACAUUGUAUCCUCUCCUAACAGAGAACUUGUAUCCCAAAUGUUUGUGCGGAAUGUAAUGAGCCCAUUAUUGGGUUCUAAAUAUGUUGAUGCUGGGAGACGUGUCCUUGUCUCAAGGCAAUUCUUGGAGUCGGUAGAGAAAAAUGUCAUUUGCCAGCGUCCUGUUUGGCGUGUUGAUGCUGCCAAAGUUGAUACAAGUUCUGAUUCCGUGCUUCUACUAUCUGAUCAUUCUCUGUUUUCUCAUGGUAUUUGUGAAGGUGAGCCCUGCAUAUCUGUAGAGAUAAAGCCCAAAUGUGGAUUUAUUCCGGUCUCAAAAUUCAUAGAUGAAGGAAAAGCCAUCAAACGAAGUAUAACUCGUUUCAGGAUGCACCAAGCCCUUAAAUUACACCAAGAAGAGAUAUUAGAAUGUAGUAAAUAUGAUCCUAUUGAUCUGUUCUCUCAAUCCAAGGACAGAAUACAUAAAGCCAUCAUGGAUCUCUUCACCACCCCUCAGAACAAUUUUCGUGUAUUUUUGAAUGGUUCUCUAAUAUUUGGGGCCUUGGGUGGUACUGCAAGCACUACCAAUUUUAAGAUUGGAGAAGCCUUUGAAGAUGCACUCAAGGAUGUCAUUUUGGGGGAUCAUGGCCUGCGCACCAGGAGUUUUCUACAGCUUAUUGCUGAGACAGUUUACAAAUCUGGAAUAAUGUCUAGGCUUCUUGAAGUCCAAAAACUUGAUACUCUUGACAUAGAGGGGGCAAUUCAUGCAUAUUAUAACAUUAUCUCUGAGCCUUGCACGGUAUGCAGAGAAUUGGGAGAAGAAAAAGCAUUGGACAGAUAUAAGUCUUUGCACUCUGUUCCCUUGGAUGAAAGCUUGAAGAUUGUGAGGGACUUUCAAAUUGCUACAACUGCGAAGGACUGUAGUUUGCUGAUUAGUUUUAGACGAAGAAAAGAUGGAAAUUCAGGAUCUUCAUAUAAUAGCAUGUAUUUGGAAUCAACUAACCAAACGUUUGAUUACAAGAUAUCUUUCAUUGAUCUGGAUUUGAAACCUGUAAAGAAGAUGGAAGCAUAUUAUGAACUAGACAAUAAGAUUGUGAGCUCCUACACUAAGAUGAUGGAAGCAGAGGAACGAGAAGGUAAAGUUACAAGUAUGGAAGUUUAUAAUGCAUUUUGAGUUUGAAGACAAUGCCAUGGAGCAUGCUUGCUGAAGAUCUAGUUGGGGCAGACCAGAAAUAGGUAUCCUUUGUUUAUGUAAAUGGUUUUCGUUUUUGUUCCUUUGUAAUUUAACCAAUUUAUGGGGCACUGUUCUUCCUCUUAUCUUUUUUUCUCUUUAACAGGCCACAUGCCAUAUUUGGUUUGAGUGCUGGUAUAUAGACAGUUAUCAAAAGCGGUCUAUCCUAUUUCUGUAACCCUUUAUAAUGUAUUAUGGGAUAUCAUGGAAGUUAGUUAUGACAAUAUGCUUCAUUUUAUUGAUAUUGUGCUAAAACUUUUUAUAUAUGUGAUGGAUCUGAGGACAUGUUGCAUUUUCUAUCUCAUAAGUCAUUUUUUUUUUUUUUUAAAUUAACUUCUUGUUAGGAAGCAAAUAAAUUAAUGUAACCUUAAUUAUGCAUAUUUUGUUAGUGCAUUUAUGCAUUAACUACAUAUGGUAAUUAAAUAGGUGUCCUAUCUGGCUAUUAGAUUAAUGGAAAUCAAUGAGAGAAGGGGAGAAAAUGAUGGAACACUUGGGGUUUUACUAGACAGUGAUGUAUCAACUACUUCACUGUGAAUCCAUCCCAUGCCCACAUGGCCUAUUUAUUUAUACAGCUAGCUGGUUUUCAAUUAAACAUGGUACUUGUUCAGGGGAAGAGAAAUAUUAAUCAGGGUAUUGGACAACUGAGUAUUUUUGCCUCGCAUUGAUGAAAAUUGUCAUCGGUAGACAUGAUUUUUAACUUUAGGAACUGUUAACUGAACAACUCUCCCUUGGAUUUAUUUUGGUAUGUGGCAAGGAAAUAUCAUCAUUAAGUUAUUAUAAGUUUGAGAACUAUGUAACUAGUAUACUAAAUUGAACUCUAUACGGAAAGGCUAUCAUAAAUUAUCCAGAGGCUAAAAUAUAUAGACUGGAAGAUUUACUUAUUUUGCCCUUCCUAAUUUUCAAAUUAGAGUUUUAGCUUAUUUUGCCCUUCCUAAUUUUCAAAUUAGAGUUUUAGUUCUUUUAUGUUACUGGAGAAACCUUUACACCACCGUCUGUGCUGGCACUGGUGUCCAUGGUUUCCUUAGUCGUAGUCUGUAUCAACACUAGAUUUUAACUUUCAGCCUAGUGAUUUUAAUGCUCAACCUCGUUCUAGGGCCUGGUUUGUUGCCAUACAUCAACAAUUCUUUGAGUUCAGAUCUACAAUAGUCGGCUGUUUCGUAGUAGCAUGGUAAUAAAAGUGCCUUGAAGAAGUUUUUUAAUUGUUGAAGGUUUGGUGCUUUCUGUUGCUAAGUUUACAUGCCCUAUGGUUUAAAGAAUUUCGGUGUUUCUGGUUUGCAUUUUACAUGUACAAAGCUCUUGCUAAUUGUACUUUCAAACUUAUUUAGUGCAAGGGCAUUAGUGAAUGAUCUUGGAAGUAAUAUUCCUACAUUUUGCGUAUGCAUUGAGUUUGUAAGACUUGUGAUAUUAUUUUUCUUCCUUGAUUAUAUCUGUCAUUUAAUGUUUCAAAUAGUUAUGUACAUAUCAACUAAACUGAUUUAAGUUUUGAGCAGCAAGACAUUGGAUUUUCUACUUGGGUUGUGGGAAUUUUUUUUUUUUUUUUUUUUUUUUUAAAAAAAAGAAAAAAAAACGAAGGCAUAAGGGCUAUUGGAGAAAUUUGGGGAUUACAUGUUUGUGACUUUAUGGCUAAAAAUGAAAACGUUUAAUGAGCAUAUACUGCUGAAGAAUCAUUGAGCUGAUUCUGGAGUGCCUCUGUACAUCAGAAGCUGCAGGAAAUGCAUAUGGCUUUCCGCAUUAUUGCUGAGCUAUUUUGGUAUUUUUUUUCACUAUAGUAGAACACUUGUAUGGUAUUAGAUGAUCAGCUACCACUUGGUUGGACGAUGUGCCCAACAAUGAGCUCCUGAACUGCUAAAAAGUCUCUCUCUCUCUCUCUCAAAAAGAGGAUCUAUUUAAACCGAGUUGAUGGUUAGGAAAGGACAAAAAGGGUAUUUAAAUAGAUUGCUGUUGUGGGUCAAGUGUGCCCAUUCACAGAGCCCACUGAAGGGCAUUUAUUAGUUCAUACCCAAUUAACUUAGACAUUGUGUAAUUUGAGGUCUGUCAUAAUUUUAUACAGACAGCCUAGUCUAAAGCCAAAGAAAAAUUGGACAGCCAUAGUGAAGUUAGACAGCCACCAGUUGCCCUUGUAGAAAUAUCCUAUAUUUAUAGUGGUUAAAUAUUUUCAUGUAAAAUCUUUUUCUCUAUGUAGCAUGUUAAACUGAGAAGUGUACAAUUUAAAAUGUUUUUUUUUACUGAUGUUUGAAUCUUCAUUCAGAUGGGUAAAAAAAGAUAAGGUACCCACUUUGUGGAGUUAUGUCUUAGCCUUAAAAGUCUUGGGGUGCAUUAAUUGCACAUUGGAAGGCAUAGGUGAUCCAAUCAAGAACCUUCUGACUGGCAUUUACUUCUAUCCAACUACUAACACUGUCACUCCCUUUAGUCUUGAACCUAACUUCUCUGCCCUUGAGCAUGAGAAAAAGAAUGCGCAAGUACUUGCCAAGAACCUAACUUGAUGAAAUUAAGGGUUAUAGCAUUUCAUAUAUUGCAACUCUAGAUUCAUCCGCAUUUUCAUUGUUAGCUUGAUCCAGUUUACUUUCUGUGAGUUUUUCUUUAGUGUUGUACUUCACCAAGAUCAUGUCCAAGAAAACUGUAGUGUCAGUGGAACUUCUCUGCUCAAA